GGAUACGGGAAAAGAGGAGGAAUUUUAGGAAAAAAAAGGGUGUUCUGGAGACGCGUGUCUCUAACCUCACGCAACCAAAAAUCCGGAAAGAAAACUCGAAAAAUCAAUUUCCAACGAAUUCAGUUGAACACUAUUGAUUUUGGAAUCUAGUUUUGGCCGUGGUGAAGGUUUCAUCCUUGAAAAACUCGUAAUCCCAUUCGCUGCCCGGGAAAAAGGUUAACACAUCUUCCUUUUUUCUUUUAGUUGAUUGUUCUUCACCGUCUUCUUUAUAGACUUCUCUCGUUAUCAUAAUGGCUGAGACUGUUUAGUUGAUUGUUCUUCACCGUCUUCUUUAUAGACUUCUCUCGUUAUCAUAAUGGCUGAGACUGUUUGCUGUAGGAACUUAGGAUUUUCUUAUAUUUUUUGUCGAUUUGGUGGCUGUGUUCCUGUAGUUCCUAGGCUGCAUCUUAUUAUGUUUCGUUAUUUGUGUUGUUUGGUGGUAUGUCAGAUUUUGAAAUUAUUUAUUCUUUUUCUUGUUUGUUGCGGGAAUGAAAAUUCACUCAACAAGUUAAACUUCUGUGUGGAUUUCUUGAUUUUGUUAAUAAGUAUAUUUUGUCAAAGAGAAAAUUUGCCUUUUUGUUUCUCUGUAUUGCUUGGAAAACAGUGGCUCGGAAGUCGAUUUUCCUUUUUCCAUUGCUUUCCAUAUUGGUUAUUAGUGUUUACGGAUGUACCAAAUAAAUUUUACUUCCUUAGAUUUGCCUUGUCAUUGGUUUUGUUAUUUGAAAUAGAAUAAUGUCUCUCUAAAGUUGGCACGAUUAAUUCAUUCUCUUGCAAAUAAUUCAUUGUGCUGCAUUUGAUCCAUCUUCUACGUGCACGUUGCAAUUGCCGUUUAAAAUUCGAUAUUGUCUUGAAAUUUCUAAACUCUUUUACUCCAUACAAAUUAAUUCUAGAGUUAAUAGUGGACAUAUAUUAAUAACAAUUUUUUAAGUGUUGCUUUCUUAACUAGUUAUAUUAGUACUAUUUGAAUAAAUUCCAAUCUUUAUAUUUUCUUGAUGCACGUGACACCGACUUGAGUCUCAGCGGACUCCAUUUCCUACAUUUCUCGAUGGACUAGGCCUACAUCUUCUACAAGUUCCAAAUGCCUUCAUUUUUGAAGGAACGAGGCUGGUAUACAUUUGUAUAAGCCUGAUAUAUGAGGUUUACAGGUUAAAAGUGGCUGAUAUAAGUCAAGAGAUGACUUAUGGUAAAGCUAGCAAGAAUAAAAGGUUUUCCAUGCUGUUAUACAGCGUAUAUACAGAAAAAAUGCAGUAAAACGAGGCUGAUAUACAGUCAGUAUACAGCUGGUAUACAACUGCAGAAAUGGACCAAAAGUCCAUAAAGAAUGAGCCCAAAAGUUUUCUAGAUUUGGAAAAGGCCCAUCUUUUAAUUCUUCUUAUUCAUCUCCUUGUAAAUCCUAUUUGAUAAUAUGUUUGCCUUAAAUUAUUAAUUUGGUUAACUUUUAUAAAUCCCCUUCGAAUCAUUAUUUUUGUUUAUCUCUGUAUUUUUCCUUUGUUAUUUUAUAGCGUAAUAUUCGAAAUUAAUAAAAAUAUAUCUUUCUUUAUGUUUUUUCUUAAAAUAAUUUUUUCUAAAAAAAAUAAUCAAAUGACAUUUUAUUUUAUCAACGUGUCAAAGUAGUUCAUUUAAGUUAAAAAGAAUUCUCAUCGACCUAAAAUCAAUUUCCUUUGCAAAAAAUAAAAAUAUUUUCACUAAUUAGUCAAGGCUCAUAAUUUGUUUAAAUUGAUAUUUUUCUUUAAAGACAAAUAUUUUUUUAAUCAAAAAUGAUAUGUAAAAAUCACUUUAUUUCUCCCUUUUAUUUGAAAGAAUAAUUUAUGAAAAAAACGGGUUUAGCUCAACCUUCUUUAUAGGAAAUUUUCUCAAGUUAAAUUGGACUAAUUUUCACUUGGUUGACAAAUGUCAUUUUAAGUCUUCAAAAAAUAGUUAAAGGUAAUAUUUUUUAUAAAAUCAAGUCUUCGUAAAAAUUAGCCACGUUUAGUUAGUCAAGUUAGUUCUUUUUGGUAAAUCGUUUUAAACGGACGCUCCUAAGUGCCUUAAAAACCUUCUUAGAGUGUUAAUUGAACCCUUAUCCAGUUCUCUGGUUUUAAAGGCUUAUUUCUGUUAUUGAGCCUUUGAAACUCUUUUUAAGUUUUUUCGUGAUUUUUUCUAUAAAAAUUAAGUGGCGACUCUAUGAAUUUCUUAAAAUUAUUUUGAAUUUUUUUUGAAUCUUUCUCGUCAAAUGAAUCCGUAAAGAAUAAAACAAAGUUUAAGGAGGGUAGGGUUCAAAAGAGGGAUAAAAAUUGAAUGGCUUACGACUUGUGAUGUGUUUGCCAAAGAAAGGUCAAAAGGCUCAAAGUGGGUGACUAGGGAUAACAUUUAUGCGAGGGUAGACUUUUUAGGCUAGAGUGGACUUUCAAUAUCGCAAAGAUGGCCUAGGAUCAUCUCACCAACCAAGUACAAUCAAAAUUAGUCUUGAUAUACUAAUGGGGCAAGUUCUAGAUGGUACAAGUAUACAUGAGAUUUAAACAAAUAAGUUCACCGCACAUGGCAUACAAAUUCGCCAAGGAGGUUCAAUUGCCCCUCCCGUUAGAGACAAAAAUAGAGUACUUACCAAUUUUCACAAGCCAAAAUUUUGGAGUCAUAAAAAGAGAAAAAGUAUUGAUACAAGAUCGCUCAUGUCUGUACCCUUGAUUUUUGGAAAAAAAAUUAGACGGAGGGGGGUGUUUGCUUUCCAUUUGCACCACAUAUAAUUUGCUAAUUAUGGAACCAACAUAAGCCUUCGUCUCACAUGUUGGCUUUCAUACGGGCAAACCAUAUGGAUACUCAGACUUCGCCAUAGGUAUAAUUAGAUCCCAAAUUCAAAAUGCUACAGGUACUCAGAUUUUUCUUGCAUUUAUUACCUCGAUGCUACGGAUACUCAGACUUCCCCUACAUUCAUGGCUCGAAACUCAAUUACAAUGCUUUUCCCUUAAGAAUGUCCUCACUCAAUCUAUCAUAGGAAAAAGCUAGUCCGAUAUCACCAUAACCAAAAUAAAGAUAAAGUAAAAAUGUAAAAACAAACUAAACAACUAAUCCAUGAAACAUGGGCACCAGCAGAGUGCCCAAAAAAUGCAACCCAGAAACAAAAAAUUAAAAAUCAUCCAAAAAGUCAUCAAAACAUCCAAAAAUAUCUAAAUAAUAUAGAUCCGGGGGCAGGCACCCCCUACUGAAAAGCUAGCAGUGUCCUCACUGCAUAAGUAAUAGAGCAUAAAAUAGAGAUAAGGGUGCUCUCUAAAACUGCAUCAGGAGCUGCUUUCGCUUGCGGACUUGCAUCAUCUCAAUCAGCAUCAGCACCGGACUACUCAGUAGGGGCCUCAUCAUCGCUGUCCAUCCUGGGAGAAGGUAGUCUGUCUCAGAAUAUUAGCACUUUCCACAGGCCCUUUACCUCUUUCUACAUCUUACUGAAAAACUUAUCUUUCUUCUUCUCCCUUUUCUUUAUCUUCUCGUGGGAGUCCCGAAGCUUCCUGUGAUACUCUGCCAACGCUGAGUAUGCCCUUUUGAGCCUAGAAAUGGUGGCUUCUUGAGUCUGUUGGUCCUUUGGAUACUUCUCUUAAUUUGAUCGGGACACAAAUGAGUAGCGGGUGGUGGAGGGCUCUCUUUGCCUCUGGGGCAAUACUGACACAAGCCCCUUGAUGACCCUAAUAUCAACACCAAUAUCUUCAAGAGGCCCAACAGUGAAUGGCCUACAUGACUCUGACUUCUCACAUGUCGACUUUCUCAAGUCGAUCUUUCUAUUUUUCCUUUUUCUCGGUGCACCUUAACCCCAAAUUUUGAGAGGAUAAAUAGGGGUUCAGGGCGCACCCAAGUAUCUCCUGGGUAUUCCGCAACCCCAACUCUCCUGAAUAGCUCAGUGAUCAAAGAAUGGAAUAAGAGAUACAUACCACCAGGGUUUCUGAAGAACUGCAUAUCAGAUAUUACCAACAGAUAUCAUCUGACGACCAACAUUUAAAGAAAAGUUGUCGAGUAUGCAGGGAACCAUAUGGGAACGCAAAUCUGUAGUUGCAGUCAAAUGAAUGCAAGGAGAGAUCCGGCUGCAAAUGAUAUUCAGCUAUAUUCGGGCCUCAGUAGUGAAGUCAUUCAUCGAGAUGCCCCUUUUGGUUGCCACCUACAAGACCUCCUUGACUGGGCACAACCUCUCUACCAUCUAGCUUCCCGGCUCACACCCCUUAGCUUCAAUGUCAACUAUGUCUACAUUUGGGAGCCCAUAUAGAUCAUUGAUUUGUUCCACCUCAAAUUACACAUUCCUCCCCAAAUCCUGAUAACUGGGUUUUUAAAAGAUACUAUACUAAGAUUAGCGUAGAACUCUCGCACCCAUUGCUGAUGUGCCCGGCAAGGAUCCAGAGCAAAACAUCUCCACCUAUUAUCCACGAGCCUAUCAUGCAAUGCUGAAAGAUUUUUCGACACCUUCUCCAAACAUAUACUCCUUUCGGGAAGCAACUUUGUCCUUAGAAACUCAUCGUAGUAUUGGUUGUGGCACUUGGGAGUCAUGAAUCAAAUUUGGUCAUAAUUCUCAAUAAUGUAAACCUAAAAAACAUGAGUACAACAAAAAUAUUUAUCAUCAAUAUUUUCAUGCUUAAACUAGACUAUUUUGUCUUAUAAAACUCAUGGGAUGGGUACUUGGUGGUGUUUGACCAAAAAAUCAAAGUGCAGAAAUUUUGGCCUAGGCUGAGAUUCAGCCUUAGUUAUGGCGAUCACAAGCCACUGAGUUGUGAUUAUGGUGCCGCGAUCGUGACUCGAUAACUGUGAUCACUGGUUCCGCAAUCAUGAUCCCGUGACCGCAAUUAAGGUAACUAAGGCUAGAUUGGGCUAGAUUUUCAAAAGCUUCACAAUCCAAUUUUAAGGCCAAAAUAUGUUUGAAAACAACAGUUAAUCAAUAAGCAUAUCAAACAAAACUUCUAAGUUCUUAAUCAUGCCCUCACGAUGUGAAAAUAAUGAGUUAUAGACUCUUUUGGGCAUUUGAUCGGGCACUUGGUGUGCUCUCUAUACUUUACUCAAAUUCACACAUUUUUUGGAUACUCAAGAUUUUCCCACAUGUAUGCACACUAUUUUUAACAGCUUCACCACACAAGUAAGAUUUAACAAGAAUUUAGCAAGGAAAAACAUAGUUUUAGGCCCUACCUAGUUCAUGCACUCUAAGGCCUACUCACAAUAAUUAAAAACAUGAAUUUAAAGCACUUACCGGAAGAGUGAUGCAAGAUGGAUGCAAAGAUGCUUUUGAAAUGCUCAAAAUAUAGACAGGAACAUGUGUAAUUUGAGAGAAAAGUUGGAGGGGGAAUGUGAGGUAAAUAGGAGACCGGUGGUCUUUUAAACCAUGUCUGGCUGCGAUCGCGGUCAAGGUUCGCGAUCGUUGACAAGCGGAUGAUCGUGAUUGCGACAAAGACCCAACAAUCGUGUUAACAGAGGGCAUUUCUACACCUCUAUUUUCCCCUGUUCAGUCCAACAUGCAAAAAUCCCACUCUUACCCUCUUUCAAACUUAUUCAAUGCACUCUAAAGUGCCAUAAAUGCAUGGAUUAAUCAAUGACAAAAUUAAAAUCUACACUACCAAGUUAAAAAGAAAGGAUACGGGCCACUUUAUGGCGUGAUGGGUUGAUUCCCAUCGAGUGCCAAAUUUUAAUGUCGUGGCACGACACACCUUUUCAAGUAUCAUUUAUGUCUCUACUUAGAAGAUUUAAACUGACGUCCCAUCUUGCAACCAUUAUGUUUUGAGCGAAAGUCGGACAAAAGAUUCAAAUAUUCCAAAAUGAGACGAAAUAAAGUUGAGGAGGUAUUGAUGACUUCUCUAUCUCGCCACUUUGAAGACUUGAAUCGUUUACCCAACUUUACAUCAAACUCUCGAGUAGGCUCAUUGGGUAUUAGUAAGAACAUCAAAAGACUACUAGUUGAAUAUUAGAUUUUCAGCUUUCUUGUCUUCAAAUGAGGGACGUCAUCUCUCCCUUUUAAGAUGACAAACUCCAAAAUAUAAGAAUUUUGUACCCCAUUUCUCAAAUUCGCCAUUUGCUUGGGUGUCUUAACUUUCAUCACAUCCAGCAAGCAUAAUGUUUAAAAAUGAUUAGAAUGAGGUCGUUGUCCCAAUUCUGGAUUCGCAUUCAUCUUGAAAUUCUCAUCCGAAAAUGAACUAAGCCCUCACAAUGGAUUUGCUUAGCUUCUUCUUUGGACUCUAGUACCAAUUCCUUUACUGUGGCAUCCUUUAUUAGUUUUUGUUUGUUUGGUUGGCAAAUCACCAAGGAUUCUUCACUAUCAAGCUCAUAAUCAAGCUCAUGGCUUGAUAUCUUUUCUUUAUCAUCCUUAUUUUGAAGAUUGGGCAUAUACAUGACACUUGAAAGAUUGGUCUCCUCACCCACUUCUUAUUUUUCACUGUCCAUUCCAAAUGCCAUCAUGGGUUGAUUCUAGUGAUGCUGUCCUCCUUCAUUGUAGUCACUCGAUCCAUGAGAUUUAGAAGCAUUGCUGCAACAGGAUUGUAUCCGACAUGUUGUUCUUCCUUUAUCACAUCAUGAGACCUAUCAAAAUCAUAAGAACUAACAUUUUUGUUAGCAUAACUAGGGGAGGGGACAUUUGGACAAUCACUCCAAUGUCCAUCUUGACCACUACAGAAAGAACAAUUUUACUCCUUAUAGUAUUGAGAUGGUGCACACACAUUUUUUCGGGGAGCAUAUUUACAAUCUUGACAAAAGUGGGGUCCACCACAAUAUGGACAUGAAUCAUCAAGAUAAAAUUUGCAACCACCAAACUCAUAUUCAUUUCAAGAUGUCAUAGUAAUAAGCAAGUGAAAAUAAAAAUCUACCUAACACAAGAAACAAAAGAAAAUCACAAACAAAUAUUUACUAGUUUGAAUUCAAGAAACUAAGGUAAAAUUCAAACUAACUCAAUACGUCAAAUUAUUCUCCGACAAUGACGUCAUUUUUGAUAACACUGAACUCACACGUCAAUUUAAGUGCAAAGAGAUCAUUGUCAGUAUAUUACUCAACUUUGAGUCGGGAUCAAAUCCACGAGGAAUAAUGUAACUGAUGAUUGAGUAAGUUCAAAGUGAAAGUUAUUUGCUAAAUUCAAACCUAGGAUACAAGUAGUUUGGGAGAUGUUAAGAGAAUUCAAAAAGAUAACAAAUUGGAUUUCUAACUGACUAAUUUGAGGUUGAGAAUAAUUAGAGCGUAAUCAAUUAGGAACAGAUCUUGGGGCUAUGGUUUACUAGGGACAACUAGUGUGCGGGUACAUGAAAAUCAACUCCAAAUCUUAGCUAAAGUAUGCGUGGGUAGGCUCAGUUAGGGAUUUUGAUACCAUCCAUUCAAUAAAGUACCAAACUAUCAGCUAAGGAUUCUUUCGAAUACCUCGUGGGUGUGGUCAACCAAUCGUUACCAAACCUCAAUUGGGCAUUCCUAUUUCUAAGAAAAUGCCCAAAAUAUAACAAUUCCACAUUUUAUCCUUAUUUCUAAGACAAUAAAAAAAGAGUAACUAUUAUCUAUCUUAUUAUUCACAAAUCCUCAUGUUACCCACAUCCCUCUUUCAAGGAUGGCGUGGUGUUUAGAGAUAUUAAGACUUUCACCAACAAAUUCCAUUUUGCGCCCUAUUCAAUCAAGAAUUUAAGCUAACAAUCACAACCCACACACAUUUGCGCCCUAUUCAAACAUAACCCCAAGAGGGAGAACUAACUACUCAUAAGGAUAAUAAAUAAAGACAUACCAAAAUCUCCAUCAAAUAGAUUCAUGAAAGAUAAAGAAGAUGCGAAUUCAAACUUUAAGUUUCAAUAAAUCUUAAGUGGAAAAUGCUAAUCCUUCACUUAGAAGUUACUCUAAUGUAUUCUUCACCCUAUACUGGAAGAGAUUUCCAAAAAUUGGGAAUUUUUCUCUAUGAGAGAGGGUUUGGUCUCUUAAGGAAAUUGGGGACGGCUGUUGUGAAAUUACAAAACUGCCGCGUUGCCACGAUUGCUGACAUUUGUCCGUAAUCGUGGAUGCUGCAUCCGCGGUUAAAAACUCGCGAUCGCGCUUCUUUAACCUAGCAUUACUGGCUGCGAUCAUGGUCUGAGGACGACGAUCGCGGUAAUUGAGGCUGGUUUCUGCUUCAAGUCUUCUAGCUGUACUUCUUUUCUUCUUUUUGAUCCUUUUUAGCUUUAAUCCACAUCUUUCCAUCUCAUUUUUUGAUCCUUUUUAGCUUUAAUCCAUAUCUUUCCAUCUCAUAACUUGUCUGUCUGCAAAAUGUAAAAAUUAGUGCAUUUAAUCGCAAAUAUGUCUCAUUUAUACAUUCAAUUCAUAGUAGCGGGCAAGAAUGUUGAGUGCAAAUGAGUGGUAAAUUUGCCAUUCAUCAUCCACCAUUUUCACCAUCUUUGAAGCUUGAUAACUCGAAUUUGAGCAUUUUCAAAGAAAUUUUUGAGAUUUUCUUCAUGGGUAUGUUUCUAAACAUUGUAUUAUUAUUUUUCACGGAUUUCACUAUCAAUUUACCUUUAAAUCUUCAAUUCUAAAUUUUAUUUUGCAAUUUUCAUGAUAAAGUUUAAAAAUAAUAUUUUUUCAAUUUGGACCUCAUUUUUAAUUUAUUUUUACAUGAAUUUUCAGUUUUAGGUUCCUAAUGUAAUAAAAAUGUGUUUGCAAAAAUAAACUUUCAGUUUAAUCCUUUUUUAUUCGGGAUUAAUUUUUGCAUUUUUUGUAAAUUCGAAAUAAAUAUAGUUGGUGUGAGUAUCAUUGAGCCCUUUUUUGACUUAUAAAUGUCAUAUUUGAUUGGAUUGGACGCAUUUGGUGUUGAUUCAAGAGAGUUGGGAUUUCAAUUGAGGUUUUAGACUACAUUUGAAUUUGCGGAUCUUAAUUUAAGGCAUGCUAAGAUGUUCAUUGACUUUUUUCCGAAGUGUUUAUGUAUUGUAUGUUUGUUUAAUUUUUUUUUUUUGUGUAUCGCUUAGGAUUGUGGGUCCCACUUAGGUGAAAUGACGAGCAUCCCCUUGGAUACCGGAGUCUUUGAUGGAUUGUCGUUGGAUUAUUACCUUGAUUACUUAGUACUACUAUUAUUAAAUAUUCUUAGAUUGAAAUGUAGAUAGAUAACCUAGUGAUUCUCAAAUAAUGAAGAAUGGAUUGUCAUUUUAGAGCUUGAAUCUUGUUAGCGAACUUUAUUUGGAUGAUAGUGGGUUAGUGCCUUGUUAGGGGAUAAUUAUGUUAUUAUCAUCAUUAUUUUGAUGGAAUGAUUGAAUAUUUAGAGAAUACUUAGAGUAUGAAUAUACUUGUAAUAGCUGAUGAGAGUUAAUGAAUGGGCCAAGUUAGGUUUGGGUAGUCCGCAAUUUAUUAUAAUUGAGAUUGUUAUUUAUUUUGUGAUGCUCGUGUCGGGCUUAUGUGAACUUCAUUAUGGACUUGAGUAGUUAUUUGUGAUUGUAUAUCCGGGUAGGGGCUUAUAUGCAUAUUGCUUUUAAUUUGAGAGGAUAUACUAUUGUGAUGCUCGAGUGGGGGCUUGACUUGAUGUUGUUAGUCAUGUUUUGUUCAUUAAAUGACUAAUUUAUUAUUGCAUCUUUCGAGUGGAGGCUUGAUUUGACAUUGUAGUCCUUAUAUGAGUAUUUAAUUGCAUAUUCAUUACAGUGAUGUCCGACUGAGGAGUUGGGAGUGAUAAUAUUAAUGACCACAUGACUAUUUAUUUUGGUGGUGCCAAGUGGAGGAACGGAAUGAAGAAUAGAAGGAAUAUGGAUCAUAUCUUUAAUCAUUAGAUAUUAGUCAUUUGAGGAUGAUUUGUGUUUAGGAUAGAGAUAUAUCUAAACACUCCACGUGAUUAAUGAAACGAGAAUAUUGCUUAAUGCAUCUAUAUUAAAGACUCACUUCCUCGCUCAAUAAUGUAAUUUUGAAACUAAUUUGGAUAGAUAACUUAGAGGAUGAUCAUUCUCAAGUAAUAAUAUCAACCCCAUAAAUCAGUAACCACGAUAAACACCAACAUCAACUAAGUAGAAUUAGCUGUUAAUGGUUCAAUUAGCUGUUAUAGAGAGAUAAUUUUACAAAGAGUGUACUGCUGUAAUAAACAUCAUUACUGUUAUAGGUAGAAUUUCGUUAUAGAGAAGUAAAAUAUAACAAAAAAAUUAAUUUCGGAGAAAAUCAAAUUGCUAUAAUAAAAUAUUGUUAUAACGAGGUGACAUUAUAGAAUGUCUGAUUGUAUAUAGUGUAUUUAGUAUAGGAGAUUUUUUUUUGAAUGAAUCUUUUCUUGUUUUAAAAUAGGAGCAAGAGAAUUUGGUAUAGUAGCACUUUAACUGCUUAUUUUUUUUCUUUGUAUAUGUUUUAUUGGUGUAGUUUGUUCGGAGAAAUAGAAGUGAAAGAAGAGCGAGAAGUAAGAAAAAUAACAAAUAAAUAGUUUGAGAGAGUGAAAGCACUCAUGAGUUGUACUUUGUCAAAGAAUAAUUAAUAAUUAUAUUUGAAUUGGAGAGUCGUAACUCUCAAUAACAUAUUAUUGAGUAAAAGGUUACUCACAGUUAUAUUUUAUCUCUGUCCCUCUUGACUUUUAUAGUUAGAAUAUUUUUAAAAAAUACUGUAUUACCUAAACGUUACUCACAUAUACGUUUAUUUCAAACCUAACUCAAUCUCUCAUUUCUCAAUUUAGUUACCUGAUUUUACUUCAUUAACUUGUGAAUAAGUUUGUGCUUCAUGCGGUAAUGAAAACCUCAUUAAAUUUAGAGUAAUGUUUUUUAUAAGAUUAGAUUAAGAGAUUUUUAAAAUUUUAAAUAUUCAAAAAAGUUUGUUCUUCUUCAAAUCCAAAUGGAUUAUAGUAAAUACUUAAUGCAAUGCAUUUCUAUACUUAAUGCAAUGCAUUUCUCUAACUUUGAAUUUUUUAGUAAAUAAAGUAACAUGAAGCUAAUAAAGAAGAACAAAUUGGUGCAAAAAUUAAUUUUCUAUAAAUAGUAUAUAAGGAAGAAAUAGACUUGAAACAUAUAGUUUGCAACAACUGCUUUUCGUUAUUGUUGGGUUUGAUUUUUGUACUCUUAUUCGUUUUCGCCUUAAGGGUGAAUAAAGCAUAAAACAGGUCCAUCUACUUCAAUCUACGGAAUCAAAUAACAAUACUUUUUCGUGCUUUAUUUCCCUCUCUAUUUUAGAGUACUUUUUAUAACUUUAUUAUUGGGACUGUUGUACAUAAUUUUCAAUAAUAUUGAAAUAAAGUAAUUAGAGAAAUAUGCAAAUGCAUAAGAAUUCAACCCAACCAAAAAUGUGAAUAAACCAUUAAUGUUUACCUUGGAAGUGGCGAUGAAAUAAAUAAAUUCCUCGUAUUUUCUUAUAGUUCUUACAUGAAUAUUGAAAUUCAAAUCUGCAAUAAAAGAUCAAUCUUAAUAGGCAUGUACCAAUAUGAGGAUAAUCCCUCAUUCUUCGUAAUUUGUGUUGAAAUUAUCAACAAAUAAUUUUACUAUUGAUUAUAUAAUAAAAAUAUUCUUGAUAACAAUUUAUAUACGUAGUUAGGAGAGACACAAAGGAAAAAAAAUAAAUACUAAACCACUAAUCCAGUUCUUUUUUAGAACAAAAGUGCAAAUUAUUUUUUUGCUUAGCCUAAAUAUAUUUAGUAAGCAAACACGAUUGUGUUUCCAAGAAAUGAUGACUUGACAACGAGAGCUAAUGCUCGACGCCCCACCAUCCUUAUAAUAGUCAACAAUAUCCAAGUCAUGACACACUAUAGCCAUCGAUUGUCCAUAUUCAUCAUUUUUCAAUUAGUCAACACUUUAUCAACUAACCAUCAUGUAAUACUAAUCCUCAUGUAUCAAUAAAUCAUCCUUUAUCAACUAAACAUAAAUUAUUAACUAAUCUUCAUAUAGCGUCUAAUCAUCACUUAUCAACUAGUCAUUAUUUACCAACAAACCAACAUUGGUCAACUAGCCAAUAUAUAUCAACUAAUCAUUAUAUACUAGAGUCUAUUCAUACUACAUUAUAACUAAUUCCUCAUUUUCAACUUGGCUACAUUGUCAAUCUGAUCACACCCCAAAGUCAUCAUAUCAUAAUAAGUAUAUCAUCAUAUUAUACUACUAAUAGCCGAACUCAAACCGGUAUGGAUAUUAAAUAAUAUCAUUAUAAAUAUCAUCCUAAUCAUCUUCCNNNNNNNNNNNNNNNNNNAGCAUAUAUAUAUAUAUAUAUAUAUAUAUAUAUAUCGUUAUAAUCAUCCCCCGACCUUGUCGGACAUAUAUAUUGUAGGACCCCACAAAUUUUCCUAGUCAUUAAAACUCUUUAAAGCAUGUCAAGGGAAGCUUCACACUUAGAAAAUUUGGCUAAGUAUUGGAACUUCUUCAUUUCAUAAGCCUUCAAACUUUGAUGAUUUAUUUCAUGACCUUCCCGACCUUUGGUAGUUGAUAUUUUAGCUAAUUCUUGUCCAGAAUGUCAAUAGAGUUUUUCAGACAAGUUUCAAAUUUUUCGAACCUCGUUUAGACCACGUUUGGGGUCUCAAAAUAGUAGACCAACGCGAUCUUGGCGCGCCGCGUCGCCUAUCGCGUUGGUUAACAUUGUUGCAGGCUGCCAGAGUCAAAAGUACUGAGGCUCUACGCGAUUAUGACGCAACGCGUCGGGUAUCGCGCCGAUGCCAUCGACACGCCGCAUCGACCAGCGCAUCGGCACCCAAUUUUUCAGUCAUUAAAAUAGCCGCGACCCCAGGAUUAUUUCAGUUUUUUUUCCCACUCUUAUAUAACCCUAAAACGCGUGUUUCAGCCAUAUUUUACCCAAAUCGUAGUGGUUUCUCUCAAUUUCUCUCAAGAACAAGUUUAGGGUUUCCAAUUGACGAUCCAAAUUCAAGAAAAUUUCACCGUCAAUCUUCGUAAAAUCAAGAACCAAGGUAUGUUAGAUGUUGAUUCUUGAAUUCCUUCCACCCAAGAAGUUCAAGAAUCAUUUUCUAAAAUUCAAAGAUUAUAUAUUUAUGAGUUUUCAUGAUUAAUGUGAAUUGAAAUUGAAGUUCAUGUUGUUAUUGAGUUUUUAAUUCAUGUUUUGUUUAUAAAGUUUCAAGCCUUGAUCCUAACAUGUGAUAUUUAUGUGAUGUUCAUGAUAAACCCCUUCAAGUUGCAUGUUUAUUGAUGUAUCCAUGAUAAUUAGGUGUAGGAAUUGUUGUAUAACCAAAGCAUGCUCCCCAUAUGUUUGAUAAAAUGCUUAUGUGAAGGAAAUAGAGUCAUUAUAGCAUGUUGACAAGAAAUCCCCAAUUGUGUAUAAGUUAAUGCAUGCCAAGUGUUUGUUGAAAGGCCUUAGUGAUGAAUUAUGAUAUGUUGUAUGCAUUCCUACUCAUGUGUAUUCCUUAUUGAAUGAAUUAUUAGAUAAUAGUAUGCACUCCCUAUACAUUUACAUGUUUAAGACUUCUAAGUGCUUGAAGAGAUGCCUCAUUAAUUGUGUUGUGAAUGAUAGCCUAUUGCCAUGUUAUGUAUGAGUUGUCGUGUCUUGUAUUAUUUAUGUUAUCGAGUCCUGGGGGUAUUUAUACCUGACAAAUUAGAGCUUGUCUAGAGCCAGUGUCAGUUUCAUGAUAAUCUCAGUCAUGCUAUGACUAGUAGUACUCUUAGUCAGUUACAGAACUCAGUAGAACUCAGACAGUGAUAGAACUUAGGAAAUCUCAGUAAUCUCAGUAUCAGUAGCAUUCCAAUUUUAGUUCAGUAAUCGAUUCAGAACUCAGUAAUAUUCCGUCAGUCAACGGAACUCAGUAAAUUUAGAUUAGCUCAGUCAAACAAGUACGAUCAGUAACAGUUUAGUCAAGCCUAGUAUGAAUUAGUAAUUAGUUCAGUGUUUUUCAGUUGGGAGUAAGAUUCACAUCGAGUGAACCUAGGGAUGAGGGCUCUCCCGCUAGAUAGGACUGAGAUCCCUAGAAGCAAUCCCUAAGUUCCAGAACAGCGUAGCCAGGUAGGUAUGAGAUAUCACCCGUUAGAUAGGACUGACAUACUCCGGGAUCACCCGCUAGUACAAGAUUGGUCUCAGGGGUCACCCGCUAGAUUAGGACUGACCCCAUAGCAGUUGUCUUUACCCGUGGAACAGUAUUGACACCCUUCCAGCUGGGGUUACAAGUUGGACCCCACUAGUUUAGAUUUGGGGCAUGUCGGUUAGAUGACUACCUCUCACAGUCUCAGCUUCAGAAUUAGUCUAAAUAAAAGAACUCAGCUCAAUAGCACAGAUUCAGGACUGUUAGAUAUAGUCACUCAUUAGUAUUAUCAAUGGAUUUAGAGAUCACCCGCUAGAUAGGACUGAUCUCAGAUUUAGUUAAGUAGUAUUAGUACCAACAGAUUCAGAGAUCAUCUGUUAGAUAGGACUGAUCUCAAAUACAGUUAAUUAGUAUCAAGUACCAUUAGAUUCAGAGAUCACCCGCUAGAUAUGACUGAUCUCAGAUUCAGUUAAUCAUCUUCAUUAUCAGUAUAUUCAGAGAUCACCCGUUAGAAAUGAAUGAUCUCAACCUCAGUCAAUCAAAUAUCAGUAUCAGUAGACUCAGUUAUCAGAAAUCUAGUUAUUAGAAUUCGGUAUUCAGUGUUCCUACGAUUUCAGUUAUAGUUGUGCAUUCAUGCAUGUAUCCUUAUUCAGUAUACUCAGAUGAUUUAGUCAGUAUUGUUCAUGCAUAUGAACCCCUACAUUUAGCCUACCUCAUCUAGCAUACCAGUACAUUCCACCGUACUGACGUAUACUUUUUUGUGCUAUGGUGUUUUAUACUAUAGGUUCAGAAUCAUAAGAUCCAGAGCACCCUUAGCAGUUCAGAUUCAGUCAGCAGCAGUAGACGUAGCCGUGAGUCCUCAUCAUUCAAGGAUAAUCUUUAUUUUAUUAUUUCACUAGAUUCAGUAUUUUAGUAGACAGAGUUAGUUGGGGACCUAUCCCAUCAACUCCACAGUUCAGACAAUUUAGAGGCUUUUCAGACAUAUGUAUCAGUAUUUAGUUUUCAGUUGUAUUUAAGAUAUUUAAGCCUCAUGGCAAGUUUUUUGCCAGUUUUCUGCAUUUUUAUAGUGUAUUAUGCAGUGCUCAGUUAUAGAUACUAGAAAAGGGUUAACUUGUGGUCCUUCAGGAUUAUGAGUACCGUGUAGCGUUUGGGGUACCAGACUUAUGGCGUUACAAACUUGGUAUCAGAGCCUAAGGUUCAACAGUGUCCUAGGAAGUCUGAAAUCCGUAUCUAGUAGUCUUGUGCAUGAGUGUGUUGCGCGCCACAUUUAUGCACAGGAGGCUAUAAAAUGUCUUAGGAACAAUUUCUCUUCUUUCAAUAUUCAUGUCAUGCGAGUGAGCAUGAGCUCAAGUUAAGACUCUCAGUGUAAUCCUGAUACGAUUCAAAUGGCCUCCUUAGCUUUCAAUGAGGUCAUUCGAAGUCAGUACGUGGGGCAUCAAGCUUUGGUCACAUUAAGGAAACAGGAUCCUACAUGGAGGGGCCGAUUUGAGUACACCAAAGAGCAACCCACAUGUGAAAGAUUGCUUGGAGCAUUGAAGAUUGAGGACUCACAGUUUUGGGCCUUCAUUAAGGAUAUUUUGAUUACUUAGCCUUGUCCAAGUAACACUCUAUGACCACCCCUUUUCAUUAAGGGUAUUGUGAUCUUUUUGUUAUGUAAUAAGUUAGACUAUAAAUAGGUUCUAUUAGUUCAUUUGGUAGUUAAUUUAUGAAAGAUAAAAGAUUGAAACAAUUGAAUUCCUUUCUCUUGAGAGUAGACUACCUUAGUAUAGUCUUAGUCAGGACUUGGAAAAGUCAUCCUUAGUAUAGGGCUUGGAAAAGCCAAUAUUGUUCUUUGCUUGAAAACGGUGGAUCUUGAGGUGAGUCGAUUACCUUGACGGUCACCGUAAGAGUGUGGUUCUGAUUAUUACAUUCAUUAGGGGUUAAUGUUGAAAUAUACUUGGUUCUUAAUCUUGUAAUAAUCUUGGUCUCACUAUCUAUCCUUUCAUUAUUUUGUAAAUCUGUGUGUUUUUGUGUUUGUCAUCUUGUAUCCCUUUGUGUUACUUGUUCUUCUCACAUUUUGUGGACUGUUUUGGCAUCUUGGUGGACUGAUUUGUAUCAUUUGGUAUCAAAGCAUGGAUUGAUCUUGUUCCCACAAGAUCAAUCUUGGGCUCGUAAACUUGAAAAUAAAAAAAAGUGUUAGAAAACUGAAAAAUCAAAAAGAGGUAAAUCUGUCCAUUUUUUGUGUUUGUUUGUGGCUGAAAUUGUGUUCUUGUUGUUGUUUUGGCCGAGAUUUGUGUCUAAAUCUAGGUGUGUUUUGAUUGUCUUAGUUGUUUCUAAGUGUUAGUUUUGUCUUCACUAACACCGUUGAGUCUAGAUCCAAGUUGAGCUUGAACAUGGUUGUUGGUAUUGUUGUUACGGUUUCAAGAACUUGAACAUUGUUGGUUUUGUUGUGUGGACCAAAACUUGAAGGUGGUUUGAGCUCGUGUUGUUGGUAUUUUGUUAUGGUUUUUAAGCUUGAAAAAGGUGUUGUUGAUUGUUGGAGGUUCAACGUGAGGCUAGGUUUUCAAAAAAGGUUUCAAGAACUUGAACAUUGUUGGUUUUGUUGUGUGGACCAAAACUUGAAGGUGGUUUGAGCUCGUGUUGUUGGUAUUUUGUUAUGGUUUUUAAGCUUGAAAAAGGUGUUGUUGAUUGUUGGAGGUUCAACGUGAGGCUAGGUUUUCGAACUUCUAUUGAAAGUUCUUGUUGUUCUAGACUCUCUUCAUGUCUAGUUGCAAAAAAGCUCUUCAAUAGUGUUGUUUGAUCCAAAAGCCAAGUGGAAAGAAGUGAGGCCUUUGUUAGUCUUUAAAACAAAUCCCAAAUACCUACCAAAAGCGAAGGAGGACAAAAAGAUCUACAAAAACUUUAUACUAAACGAGGGAAAAAAAUACCCUUUUAGGUGUCCAACAGAGGAAAGGGUCACCAACCCUUCAAAAAGGUGUCUUGCCCAAAAGGUGUAAGACAAGUCAAACCUUUUUGAAUGAGAAAAAGGGCUCCAAUCUUGAUAUUUUUCUUCCCCAAGGACGAAAUACACUUCUUCAAGAAUUGAAAAUUGAACCAAAAUUUCAAAGUUGAAAAAAUAAGAACCUUUAAAAAAUCGCACCAAUCCUAGACCGCCACAUCACUAAUUUUUGUACAAUACCGAAACUUAGGGCUUAAAAUCUUGGAUUCUUAGUUUCUUAUUGUUGAUUCUUAGUUUCAUUUUUUUUAUUCUUAUACUAAUUGGCAACUAGUAAUACCUACUAAGUUGUAAAUUAGUUUUUGAAUACGUUUCUUUCGUGUCUUCGUUAUUUGUGUGCUUUUCUCGUUUGUAACUCGUAGUAACUUCUUUAUUUCACGUUUAUAAGUGAAUUUUGUUUUGUGUCUUGAGUCAAUCAAAACAAGAAUCCAUUCCGACCUUCAAGUAGGAUUGACAUCUUAUUGACUACCGGAGUAUAAGCAACUUUCAAUAUUUGCCGCUCCAAUUGUGAGAAUCACAAAGGCGAGUGUAUCGAGUGUUGGUAAGGAGGUUUUUGUUUUCUUUUGUUUGUUCUUGUCUUUUUUGUUUUGUUUAUUAGGUACCAUGGCUGCGUAUAAUUUCAAGGCCACGUGUGAUCGCAUCCAUGACGAUCUUGAAGAUAUGCAACAACACAUUGAAAUUAUACGUCAAUUAUUACCCAAACUCUUUCCUCAAAAUCCAAUUGGCCAAACAACUGCGAUAAGAGCUUUCUGAAAGAAGUUGCUGCCCAAUCUUGUAAAGACGAACAUACUCAUGAACGUCAAGGUAAAAUAGCUAACCCUUACACUUUUGUGCAUGUGAAUGAUAAUUGUGUGGCUAGUAGCCCAUUGAGUGUGAGUUGUAGCUUGCCUAUAUGUGAUUCUAUUGUUUCUUUGACACUUGAUGAUGAUAUACUUGUUGUGAGUGUGGAUACACUAGUUGAUCCUAUUGAUGACCGAAUUGACUCUUCUUGUAAGAUCGAUUUAUGUCCACCUAGUGUUGAAAUCAUUGUGUUGAAUGAAAGUAUAUCGUCUUGUGAAAUUUAUGUUGAUCAACUUUUGUAUGAAAAUUGUCCACCACUUGAGGAUGUGUGUGAUGUGAUUAAUGAAUCUCAAGUGUUUGAUGAUGUUGAAAAUAUUAAUCAAAGGAAUAGGAGUAAACCCGAGAGCUAUUCUUGGGAUAAUCUUGCAUUUGAAAUCUCUUUGAAACUUGAUAUUGAUCUUUUAGAGAGUGAUGAACGUGUUUGUUCCGAAUAUGCCCGUGAUAUAGAUCAUGCUCUCUUAAGGUAUAAUGUCUUGUUUGAAGAUGAUAUAACCACUCCUAAUGAACCUAGUGGUGCAAAUGAUGGUAUAGCUUGCCUUAGAAGCUAUAGUCGAUAUGCUAAUCCACUAUGGUGUGAAAACAUUCCUCCUAAAGAUGAAAAUCUCUUCUUGAAAGAUGAGAGUACUCUUAAGGGUAAGGGAUGUGUGGAUUUGAAAACUACUUCUCCUUCUACUUUGUGUGACUUUAUUGUUGAGAGUACUCAUGGUGAUGAUUGUGAAACUAGUAGUGAGUACACACAUGAGGGCACCUUAGUAGAAGUCGACUUGAGUGAUACCUUUCUCUACUUUCAAUUUGCUCUGGAUAAUAUGUAUGUUAUUGUAGAGAGUAUGCCGUUUAUUUUGGGUGGAGACCACGGGAAAGGGGAGUGUUGUCUAGACCUGUAUCUAUGGCCACUCUUCCUGUUUGACCCCGGUGCCAAAUAUAGAAUUGGUGAUGAUGGUGCACCCAACUUGUUGCUUGGUUUACAUGACAAGCAAAGUAUUAUUUUUGGUGAAUUCUAUAGCCAAAUCCUUUGUGCAUUUUUCAUUAAUUAUGUAAUAUUUAGUUCAAAGAUCCUUGGUUAUAUUCUAAAUAUGUGAAACCUUGGCAUGUUGAGGUGAUUUGUCGUGUUUACCCUAACCCUCAUGCCAUGAGGAGUUUGUAUUUGUGUGUCCUUUCUUUGGUUUUGCAAGGUUUGGAUUCGAGGUCGAAUCAUUUUCAAGAAGGGGAGGAUGAUAUGAUUCAAUUGGCCUCCUUAGCUUUCAAUGACAUCAUUCGAAGUCAGUACGUGGGGUAUCAAACUUUGGUCACAUUAAGGAAACGGGAUCCUACAUGGAGGGGCCGAUUUGACUACACCAAGAGCAAUCCCACAUGUGAAAGAUUGCUUGGAGUAUUGAAGAUUAAGGACUCACGGUUUUGGGCCUUCAUUAAGGACAUUUUGGUUACUUAGCCUUGUCCAAGUGACACUCCAUGACCACCCCUUUUCAUUAAGGGUAUUGUGGUCAUUUUGUUAUGUAAUAAGUUAGACUAUAAAUAGGUUCUAUUAGUUCAUUUGCUAGUUAGUUUAUGAAAGAUGAAAGAUUGAAACACUUGAAAUCCUCUCUCUUGAGUGUAGACCACCUUAGUAUAGUCUUAGUUAGGACUUGGAAAAGGCAUCCUUAGUAUAGGGCUUGAAAAAGCCAAUAUUGUUCUCUGCUUGGAAACAGUGGAUCUUAAGGUGAGUCGAUUACCUUGGCGGUGACUGUAAGAGUGUGGUUUUGAUUAUUACAUUCAUUAGGGGUUAAUGUUGAAAUAUACUUGGUUUUUAAUCUUGUAAUAAUCUUGGUCUCACUAUCUAUCCUUUCAUUAUUUUGCAAAUUCAUGUGUUUUUGUGUUUGUCAUCUUGUUUCCUUUUGUGUUGCUUGUUUUUCUCACAUUUGUGGAUUGUUUGGGCAUCUUGGUGGACUGAUUUGUAUCAAAUCCAUUCUUUCUUUCAUUUAUAGAAUAUGCCUCCUCGCAGAGAUAAUGCCCAUAGAAAUGAUAACCAGCUACCUCAGCCCGUAGAUUCUUCGAAUGAGAAUGUGUCAUAUGCAGAAUUGCGGGCAGCCUUUCAGGCGCUAGCCCAAGCUAUGACAACUAGUUUUCAGGGUAACCGUCCGGCUGCAGCCUAACCUUAGCAAGAUGGCGGUUCAAUCGCAUCCAAAAUCAGAGAUUUCAUGAAUAUAAACCCGUCAGAAUUCUUUGGGUCAGUAGCAGGUGAGGACCCAUAACUUUAUCUUGGGAAGGUGAAGAAGAUCACCCAGAUUAUGCAUGUGUCUGAGGAGGAGAGUGUAGAAUUAGCAUCCUAUAGGUUGAAGGAUGUUGCUCAUGAUUGGGUAGUGAUAUGGAAGAAGCGUAGAGGGAAGGAUGCAACUCCCAUGACUUGGCAGGUAUUUCAGGAUGCAUUUUUAGAUACGUUUUUCCCACUCGAGAUCAGAGAAGUUAAGGUAGAAGAGUUCAUGAACCUAAGGCAAGGAUCCAUGACAGUGAAGGAGUAUUGCCUUAAGUUCAACCUGUUAGCUAAGUAUGCUCCUGAUUUGAUGGCUGACCCUAGAUCUAGCAUGAGUAAGUUUGUGAAUGGUGUGUCCGGGUUGGUAUUGAAGGAGUGUAGGACUGCUAUGCUCAAUAGAGAUAUGGAUCUUGCUAGGCUAAUGAUGCACGCUCAACAGAUUGAGGCCGAUAAGAUGAAGGAAAAAGAGACAGUGAAUAAGAAAGCCAAAAUAGGUAGUUAUAGAUUCUCUUAGGUAGGGUCACAGGGUGGUAACCGUUUUCAGCAUAGUCAGAAGUUUUUAGUCCCAGCUCUAUCCUCCGCUAGUGUACCAACACCAAACUUCAGGGAUGUCAGUUAUGAUGGGGCGCUACGCUCCAAAGCCCAGAUUAUCAUGAGAAGUGAGCGUACCUAUCCACUUUGUAAAGAAUGUGAAAAAAAUCACCUAGGUAUAUGUAGAGCAGGCAGCGAGGUAUGUUUUGGAUGUGGUAAGUUAGGCCAUAGGAUACGGGAGUGUAGAGUGCUAGAACAGAGGGGAUAAGAUUUGCGUCAGCAGGGCACCAAUAGUGGUCAGCGUCAGAAUAGAUUUUAUGCACUCCAAACCCAUCAUGAUUCAAAAAGUUUCCUUAAUAUAUAUUCGGGUAUGUUAUAAGUCCUUCAUCUUCAUUAUAUGCUUUGUUAGAUCUCUUACUCCUAUUUAAGCUUAAGUUUUCAGCAUGAGUUAGUCAGUAAGGCCAAUAAUUCAGUUUAGCAGUCAGACAGUUAAAUUCAUAUAGUUUGUUUUUCCUAUCUUUCCAUCUAGAUAUAUUAUCAGAAUGUCUAAGGAGUGUAGCUAUUCCAAGAUAGAGCAUCCAAGUAGUUGCGAGUUCAUCUUAGUUCAUGAGUCGUACAUUAGUUUCAGAUCCCAGAUGUUUAGUCAUGAUCCAGCUCGUAGGUGCCUUGUGCAUCGCCACAGUUUUCCUCAAGGGUCUCAAUAAAGUAAGCCUUCUUAGAGGGACAUAGUGUCCCAAGGGGGAGAUACCCUAUGGUUUCAUGACCUUAAACCCAUUCGGUUUCAUGCUUAGAUUUUCCUUACAAACUUAAUAUCAGUUAUCAUUGCAUACUCAAUCAUGCAUUCAAGAGUCAGUUCAGUCAAAUAUUCGUGCAUUAGAUAUGCAUGUUCAAUAGAAGAAGCUCAAGCUUAUCAAUAAUUUCAGUCAUGCUUUCAUGAGAAUCAACUCAGUCAGAUAUCUAUGCAUUAGAUAUGCAUGUUCAGUAUGAGAUUUCAGAAUAUCAGUAGUUCCAGUCUUAUAGUUAUGUUUCAGAUGUUCACGUCCCUUAUGUAAGUUCAGUCUAUCAGUAAUAUCAGCCUAGUCAGUCCCAUUCGAGGACGAAUGUUUCCAAGGGAGAAAUAUUGUAAGACCCCGUAAAUUCUCCUAGUCGUUAAAACUCUUUAAAGUAUGUCAAGGGAAGCUUCACACUUAAAAAAUUUGGCUAAGUUUUGGAACUUUUUCAUUUCAUAAGACUUCAAACUUUGAUGAUUUAUUUCAUGACCUUCCCGACCUUCGAUAGUUGAUAUUUUAGCUAAUUCUUGAUCCAGAAUAUCAAUAGGGGUUCCCGAACAAGUUUUGAAUUUUUUGAACCUCGUUUAGACCACAUUUGGGGUCUCAAAAUAGUAGAUCAACGUGAUCAUGGCCCGCCACCAUCGCCUAUCACAUUGGUUAACAAUGUUGUAGGCUGCCAGAAUAAAAAAUAUUGAGGCCCGAUGCGAUCAUGACGCAAUGCAUUGGCUAUCGCAUCGACCAACGCGUCGGCACCCAGUUUUCCAGUCAUUAAUAUAGCCGCUACCCCAGGGUUAUUUCAGUUUUUUCCCCACUCUUAUAUAACCCUAAAACACAUGAUUCAGCCAUAUUUCACCUGAACUGUAGUGGUUUCUCUCAAUUUCUCUCAAGAAGAAGUUUAGGGUUUCCAAUUGACAAUCCAAAUUCAAGAAAAUUCCACCGUCAAUCUUUGUAAAAUCAAUAACUAAGGUAUGUUAGAUGUUGAUUCUUGGGUUCCUUCCACCCAAGAAGUUCAAGAAUCCUGUUCUAAAAUUCAAAGAUUAUAUAUUUAUGAGUUUUCAUGAUUCAUGUGAAUUGAAAUUGAAGUUCAUGUUGUUAUUGAGUUUUUAAUUCAUGUUUUGUUUACAAAGUUCCAAGCUUUGAUCCUAGCAUGUGAUAUUUAUGUGAUGUUCAUGAUAAACCCUUUCAAGUUGCAUGUUGAUUGAUGUAUCCAUGAUAAUUAGGUGUAGAAAUUGUUGUAUAACCAAAGCAUGCUCCCCAUAUGUUUGAUAAAAUGCUUAUGUGAAGGAAAUAGAAUCAUUAUAGCAUGUUGACAAGAAAUCCCCAAUUGUGUAUAAGUUAAUGCAUGCCAAGUGUUUGUUGAAAAACCUUAGUGAAUGAAUUAUGAUAUGUUGCAUGCAUUCCUACUCAUGUGCAUUCCUUAUUGAAUGAAUUAUUAGAUAAUAGUAUGCACUCCCUAUACAUUUACAUGUUUAAGACUUCCAAUUGCUUGAAGAGAUGCCUCAUUGAUUGUGUUGUGAAUGAUAGCCUAUUGCCAUUUUAUGUACGAGUUGUCCUGUCUUGUAUUAUUUAUGUUAUCGAGUCCUGGGGGUAUUUAUACCCGACAAAUUAGAGCUUGUCUAGAGCCAGUGUCAUUUUCAUAAUAAUCUCAGUCAUGCCAUGAUUAGUAGUACUCUCAGUCAGUUGCAAAACUUAGUAGAACUCAGACAGUUACAGAACUUAUAAAAUUUCAGUAAUCUUAGUAUCAGUAGCAUUCCAGCUUCAGUUCAGUAAUAGAUUCAGAACUCAAUAAUAUUCCAUCAGUCAACGGAACUCAGUGAAUUUAGUUUAGCUCAGUCAAACAAGUACGAUCAGUAACAUUUCAGUCAAGCCUAGUAUGAAUUAGUAAUUAGUUCAGUGUCUUUCAGUUGGGAGUAGGAUUUAGCACCGAGCGAACCUAGGGAUGGGGGCUCACCCGCUAGAUACGACUAAGAUUCUUAGAAGCAAUACCUAUGUUCUAGAACUACGUAGCCAGCGUAGGUAUGAGAUGUCACCCAUUAGAUAGGAUUGACAUACUCCGGGGUCACCCGCUAGUACAUGAUUGGUCUAAGGGGUCACCCGCUAGAUUAAGAAUGACCCCAUAACAGUUGUCUUUAUCUGUGGCAUGGUGCUGACACCCUUCCAGCUGGGGUUACAGGUUGGACCCCACUAGUUCAGAUUCGGGGCAUGUCUCUUAGAUAACUACCUCCCAUAGUCCCAUCUUUAGAAUCAGUCUCAGUAAAAGAACUCAGCUCAGUAGCAUAGAUUCAGGACUGUUAGAUACAGUCACCCAUUGGUAUUAUCAAUAGAUUUAGAGAUCACCCGCUAAAUAGGACUGAUCUCAGAUUUAGUCAAGCAAUAUCAAUAUCAGUACCAACAGAUUCAGAGAUCACCCGUUAGAUAGGACUGAUCUCAAAUACAGUCAAUCAGUAUGAAGUACCAUUAGAUUCAGAGAUCACCCGCUAGAUAGGACUGAUCUCAGAUUUAGUUAAUCAUCUUCAUUAUUAGUAUAUUUAGAGAUUACCCGCUAGAAACGACUGAUCUCAGCCUCAGUCAAUCAGAUAUCAGUAGACUCAGUUAUCAGAAUUCCAGUUAUUAGAAUUUGGUAUUCAGUGUUCCUAUGAUUUCAAUUAUAGUUGUGCAUUCAUGUAUGUAUCCUCAUUCAAUAUACUCAGAUGAUUUUGUCUGUAUUGGUCAUGCAUAUGAACCCUUACAUUUAGCCUUACCUAAUCUAGCAUACCAGUACAUUCUACCUACUGAAGCAUACUUUUCUGCGCUAUGGUGUUUGAUACCAUAGGUUCAGAAGUACGAGAUCCAGAGCACCCUUAGCAGUUCAGAUUCAGUCAGCAGCAGUAGACAUAGCAGUGAGUCCUUAUCAUUCGAGGAUAAUCUUUAUUUUACUAUUGCACUAGAUUCAGUAUUUUAGUAGACGGAGUUAGUUGGGGACUUGUCCCAUCAACUCCACAGUUCAGACAGUUUAGAGGAUUUUCAGACGGAUGAAUUAGUAUGUAGUUUUCAAUUGCAUUUCAGAUAUUUGAACCUCAUGGCAAUGUUUCUGCCAGUUUUCUGCAUUUUUAUAGUGUAUUAUGCAGUGCUCAGUUAUGGAUACUAGAAAAGGGUUAGCUUGUGGUCCUUCGAGAUUAUGAGCACCGUGUAGCAUCCGGGGUACCAGACUUGGGGCGUUAUAUAUAUAUAUCAUCAUAAUCAUCCUUCAGCCUUAUCGGGUAUAAAUAAUCAAUAUCAUACUCAAUAUAUCCAAUAGCAAAUAAUUAGAGUAUUUAAUAGCAUAACCAUUAGCGUAGUAUAUUAACAUGAUCAAUAAUCAUAAUAGAAAUCAUGAGCUUUAGCAUAAUCAAUAGUAUGAUUGACAAUAUAGUAAGUAAGCACAACCUUUAGCAUAAUUAAUAGCAUAAUCACCAAUAUAGUCAAUAAAUACGAUAACUAACAUAAUCAAUAUGUAUUAUAAAGGAUAGACAAUAACUUUACAAUAGCCUAAUUAAUGGAUUAUCAUUAACAUAAAAGAUAACUUAUCAAUAGCUUGAUCAAUAAUUAAUCCAUGACAUAAUCUAUAGCUUUUUCAUAGAAUAAUAAUUAACUUAAUUUGUGGCUUAGUCAAUAUCAUACUCAAGGGCUCAUUCAGUAAUAUAUUCGGUAGCCCAAUCAAUAGCCAAACCAAUAGCAUACUCAGUAGCUCAUUACUAACAUAAACUUAAUCAAUAACUCAUUUAUAGCAUACUCAUUAAGCAUAUGUCAGCCAUCAUAGCCAACAAAUACCAAGGCAUCUAAAUAUCACUAAAAUAACCAUCUACCUAGAUGUACAUAAGCGUAUCAAAGGGUCUUUAGUAACUAUCACAAGUCUUGGACUAAGGUGGGUCGAAUAUCCCACUUAUAAACCCUUAAAAUCAUUUACCAAGCAAUGUCUAUCCCAGGCUAGGCUAAGGUAUUUAAAUCCUUUAUUAGAUAUUGAACAAGCCACAACUAGUUCUAGGAUAUCAACUCCUCCUAAUAUAGAGCAACUAAGUCCAUUCUACCUAAAUAUUGGCAAUUUAGGUAAGAUUUAUCCUAAAUUUAAGUACCAAGGAAGUCUUCUCAUUAGUUUAGUAACUGACCUAAGCAUAACCCUACAAGGUCAACUUCACCUAAGGUAAUUGGUUAACAAGGUUAAUCAUGCCCAAAAUGAUAUCCAAAAUAACCUAAAUGAUCCAACUAAUUCCAAGAAUUUCAAUUUAUUACACCAGCACUUAAAAUCCAUCCCAAAUUUGACACAAUAUCAUAAACAUACUAUGAAUUAGCCAAUCUAAAAAGGGGUAAAACCAAGCCUACCUGGAUGCCAAAGAAAGCUCAAAAGAUCUGCUAAAUUACCAUUUUUUUCCUUUCGAGAAACUUUCACAAAAUGCCAAGAUAUCAAAAUUAUAUUCUACUCAUCAAUACGAGAAUUAUGAUUCCCAUAUUUCACUAUUGUGCUUUGGAUCCAAAAAUCAUAUCAAAAUCUCAUGUGGGUCCUAUUCAGAAAAAAUCACGUUUUCAAAAUCAAUCCAGCGUUCCCUCAUGCUCAAGAAAUUAUUGCCUUAAAAAAUGAGUAAAAUUCAAGCUAAUUUGGGGUUAAAAUUAAGCCUCUAAGGUUUUGGAAUUUUUGAAGAAAAAAUAAAAAUUUCUACCAUGUAAAGGGUGAAAUCUUACCACAAAUUAGAAGAUAAUCGCAUAAACAUGUGUUAGCUCACCCACAAGCUUCAAUUUUAAGCUACCUCACUAUUUAGGGUUUUAGUUCUUAAGAAAAUGGGUGAAUAAUGAGAAAUUUUUUGCUAAAAUACUUACCAGGUUCUCAGGUCUCGCUUUCCCGACUCAAUGUUUGUGAUCGCCAUACAUAGCAACAAGGUCAUAAGACACUAUCGUAACAUCCCCUCCUAGCGAUCGCGGUCUAGUAGACUGGUCAAGGAUUCGCGUUCACAACUAAAAGUGUCACGAUAGCGGUGCUUACUACCCUGCUCAAGUAUCCAUGAUCGAGGACAAAGCCAUCACGAUCACGAUGUACCGAAAACAUCAGAUAUAGCUGAGACUUGGAAAAUUUUCAAGUCUUCUCUAGGCCCUUGGGAUUCAUCCGAAAUCCUGUAUACAUAAACGAAUUAUAUAACCAUAUCAAAUUUGAUGUUUCAGACUUAAUGGCGCUGUCAAAAUUUCCAUUCGAUGUCAUUUUAUCAAAAUAUUGGUCCGACACCCAAUUUUUAAUUUCUUAACUUUUUGAUCAAUAGGUCGAAAUGAGUUCGGGUGCCUUGAGACCCAAACCAAUAGUCCACCUAGCAUAAAAUCGAUAUUCUAAAGCUGUUGUAAUAGUUAGAAUUUGCAUUCAAGAUCGUUUAGUUGAAGUCUUUGUUGGUGGUCAUUUGGAACCAAUAAAGACUUCAAAAUAGAGAAUUGACUUUAAAACCAAAUGAACUAUCAAUUCCAGCAAAUCAUAAAUGACUUAGGAAAGCUAUAAAAAAGAUAUAAUGGAAAAAAUAAGCAACUAUAUGGAAGAUGAAUCAAAGAGUCAUUACACAAUCUCAGGACCAGAUAUAUUUGACCCUUUGAGAGUCUUCACAUAGCUGGUGAGGUAGCUUAUUAGUUAGCCUUACCUCCAGAUUUUACUGCUAUCUAUCCGGUUUUCUAUGUUUCUAUGUUGUAUUGAUAUAUUCUUAACCCAUCUCUUGUGCUUAGAUGGGACUUAGUUCAGUUGGAUGAGUAGUUGACUUUUGUGGAGGAGCCUACACUCAUAUUGGCCAGUAAUGUCAGGUGAUUGUGCACUAGAGAGAUUCUAGUAGUUAAGGUUCAGCGGAGACAUCGCCCAAUAGAGAAGGCCACUUGGAAGAUAGAGAGUGAGAUAAAAACUCAGUAUCCUCACCUAUUUGAGGUGUCAGGUACAUUCUAAUCCUUUACUUUCACGGACAAAAGUUCUUUUAGUAGUGGAUAGUGUAAUGACCCUCCAAGUCACUUUUUGUAUUUUCACUCAUUUUCACUAUUUAGAGAUUUCCUAUAGCAGAUGAAACUAACAGUUCAAUUAUUGGGUAGUCCAUUUGAAUUUUAGAGCCAAUUUCUUAUUUUGAAGUUCGCUAGUUCAAAUUGGCUACUAGGCAGAAAUUUUAGUCAAACGACUUCAUAUGCUAAUUCAUACAGACCCAACAACUAUAUAACAUUGAUUUUAGUCUAGGUGGACCCUUGAUUUAGGUCCUGAGGCAUCCGUAUUCAUUUCGAGCUAUAUGCUAAUGUUAAGAAAAAUGGCAGAUAGGUGUGGGACCUACUUUUCAUCAAAACAACCUCAGAUAAAAAUUUCAACUGCUUUAUUGAGUGCACAAUAUUGAAUUUUAUAAGGUAGCAUAGUUUUUUUGUGUUUAUAGGAUUAUGGAUAAAUCCCAAAGGGAUGGUGGUAGUCUGGAUUAAAUUUUGAGUUUCAGCUGGUGUACUGGUUGAGCGCCCAUUUAGGUCGCUUAAGAGGAGGCCUGCUAAAGCGCCUAACCUACCACAUAAGAGUUCAGGCUGGCCCAAUAGGUCAUCUCUUAAGUGAUUCCCUUACCACUUAAGCGAUCGUCGCAUAAGUAGUACCUGUGCAGGCGCUAUGUGGCGCUAAAGCAGCACCCAUGUACCUGGUAGGGGUAUAAAAUCCCCACUCAACCUAAUUUUUUCCAUUUUCGCCCAUUCUUAAGUUUGUAGAACCUAAAGAGUAUAUAAACUUGGGAGAAUCAUUAGUGGGUGAUUUUGGAGUGUUCAAAGGCUCGAUUAACACGUUUCUUCUCUGAAUCUUAGUAAGUUUCAUUGAAUUCCAUGGUUGAUUUCUCAUGAUUUCCCUAAAAUCCCUUAAUCAUAGGUGGGUUGAUUCUAUCACUUUCUUGAGGGAAAUAUUCCUUGAGAAUAGAGGAAUAUGUCGUAUGUUUUGAAAGUGCAAUUUCAUAAAUGGGACCCACAUAAGAUUUUUACGUAAUUUUAAACCCGGAGCACAAUAGUGCAAUAUGGGUAUCAUUGUUCUCUUUUUGAUGAGUGGAUUAAUUUUUAUAGAAUGGUAUCUUGCAAAAUCUUCUCAGAAAGGGAAAUCGGUAGUUUAGUAGAUUCUUUGAGCUUUUUGGGCAUUGGCAUUAGUGAGAAUAUCAAUAGACCACUAGUUAGACAUCGCAUUGUGCACUUCUUAGACUUUAAGCGAGGGAUGCCAUUUUUCCCUCUUGAAAUGACAAACUCCAAUAUGUAGGAAUUUUGUUCUUCAUCUUCAAAAUUAUUUAUUUGCCUGUAUGGUUCGGCUUUUAUCACAUCUAACAAGCAUAAUGUCAAAAAGUAGUUAGAAUGAGGCAGCCUUCCUAUUUUGAAGUUACAUUCUUCUUGACAUUCUCAUCCCCAAAUGAACUAGAGUUUUCACAUAGAAUUUGCUUGGCUUUCUCUUGCAACUCAAGUAUCCCCUCUUUAAUUUCAGCAUCCUUCAUUAUUUUUGGCUUGGUUGGCUGAAAAUCAACAUGAAUUCUUCAACAUCCAUCUCCCCCUAAUAUUUACUGGAAACCACUUUAACAUAAUCAUGCUCAUUCAUUUGAUUUUGAGCACCACAUGCUUCAAUUCUUGCAUUCAGUUCAGUAUCUAAUUUUUGUGUAGCCAUUUUAAAUUCAAUCCACACUUCACAUUUCUCAAUAUGUAAUUUGAGUGAUUCCUCCACCAUUAGUAGCAUUAUAUCAAUGUGACCCUCAUGAACUUCAAGUUGUUGAGUUUGAUUCAUUAGCCAUUUUUGGCUCACAAUUUCUUCCUUGUCAAGUUUUUCUUCAUUUUGAGACUCAAUUAUCUCUUGAAAGGGUCCUUCCUUGGAAAAAUUAAUAUUUUCAAAAACUACAUCAUCAUUAUAUUGGACUAGGUCCCACCAUAUAGCCAAGACUUCUCCCCAUUUUUUAUUCUUUUCCAUUGUAUCUUUUAACAUCUCCUCUAUUUGCUUUUUUGGAAAGUCCAUGAUUUAUUCUUCUCAUUGAGCGUUUUCUUAAUUUUAGUGACUUUUGUUUAAGUCAUAGCACACUUUUGUCUCAACCACGUGGAUUGAAAUCUCUUCUUCAUCAACUUCAUUAUGAGGAUUGGGCAUAUUCAUGACACUUGAAAGAUUGGCAUCCUUACCCACUUCUUCUUCUUUUUCUCUUUCCUUUCCAAAUUUCUCCAUGGAUUAAUGCAAGAGAUGCAUAUCUAUCCCAUUGUAGCACUUGGUCCAAGAUAGUAUGAAGCAUUACUUCAAUGCCUUUGUGUCUGACUUGUUGUUAUGUCUUUAUCACAUCAUGAGACUUAUGAAGUUCAUAAGAAGAACUAGAGUUUUUAGUAGCAUAACUAAGGGAGGGGCCACAAUAAUUUGUACAAUCACUCCAAUGUCUAAUGAACCACCAUAUAAAGAACAAUCAUACUCCUGGUAGGGAUGGGAUGGUGCACACACCUCUUUUUUUUUGGGGGGGGGGGCAUAAUUAUAAUUUGGCCAAAAGUAAGGUCCACCUCAAUAAGGACAUGGGUCAUCAAGAUAAGAUUUUAGAACCACCAAACUCAUUUUUAUUUAUAAUGCCAUAGUGAUAAGUUGUAAUAAACCUCUAGAUCGUUAUAUUUAUGCUCAUUUAUCUAUUUAGAGCUUUCCUAUAGCCACCUAAGUCAUUUAUAAAUUCUUGGAAUUGAUAAUUUGAUCGCCAGGCAGUUUGUUUGGUUUUAGAGAUAAUUUUAUGCUUUGAAGUCUUCCUUGGUUCAAAUUGGCUACUGAGCAUGAACUUUAGUCAAACGACCUUGUAUGCUAAUUUUGACAGUUUAACAGCUCUAGAACAUCGAUUUUAGGCUAGGUGGACCCUUGGUUUGGGUCCCCAAGCUUCUAGACUCAUUUUGAGCUAUUGGUCAAAAGUUAAGAAAAAUGACACAUGGGUGUGGGAUCCACUUUUCACCGAAACGACAUCGAAUGGAAAUUUCAACAGUGCCAUAGAGUCCGAAACAUUAAUUUGAUAGGUUAGCAUAGUUUAUUUUUGUAUACAUGAUUUUGGAUGAAUCCCGAGGGUUAGUGGAAGUUCAGAAUAAAUCUUGAACUUCAGCUAGUGCAUCACUUAAGAGGCUAUUUAUGUUGCUUAAGUAGAGGCCCGCUAAAGUGCCCAACCUACCACUUAAGAGAUCAGGAUGACCCAACAAGGCAUCGCUUAAGAAGCGUCCUUACUGCUUAAGCGAUUUCCGCUUAAAUGGUACCUAUUCAGAUGCUACAUGUCACUAAAAUGAUGCUAGGUCGCUUAAGUAGCCCAAUCUCUGCUUAAGCGGCACUGGUGUACCUGGUAGUGGUAUAAAACCCCCACUUAUCUUAAUUUUCUCUAUUUUUCACCCAAUCUCAAGUGUGUAGAACCCUAAAGAGUGUAGAAACUUGGGAGAAUCAUUAGUGGAUGAUUUUGGCGUGUUUGUAGGCUAGAUUAAUUCAUUUAUUCUCCUAAUUCUUGGUAAAUUUCAUCAAAUACAUAGUUGAUUUCUCAUGAUUUUCCCAAAAUACCUUAAUCAUAGGUGGGUGGAUUUAAACCCUAUUAGAGCUCAGAAUUCACCUAUUAUUAAAGGUAAAUAUACCUUGAACAUAGAGAGAUGUAUUGUUAUUUUUGAAAGUGCAAUUUCUCAAAUAAGUCCCGAAAUAAAUUUUUGUGUAAUUUUGGAUCCAAAGCAUAAUAGUGUAAUAUGGGUAUCAUUUUUCUCAUUUUGAUGAGUUGAUUGUGAUUUUGAUAGCGUGGCAUCUUGCAAAAUCUUCUCAAAAGGGGAAACAAGUGGUUUAGUAGAUUCUUUGGGGUUUUGUUCAGUGUCUAAGUAGGACAAGCUUACUUGCUUCAUAGAUUGAGCUAGUUCAUAGUAUAUUUGUGAUAUUAUGCUACAUAUGGGAUGGAAUUUAGGUAUUGAAAGCAUGAUUGACACAAUCAGUCUUAUUUGGACUUCUUAGGCUAUCUUAAAAUUAUAAUCUUGGUGAAAUUGACUUAGUUGCCCACGUUUUAGAUGAAAUUGACUUAAUUGCUCAUGUUUUAGGAUGAAUUGUUAUAUUUAGGAUAUUAUGGCUUGUUUAACAUCUAGAAGUGGAUAUAGAUACCUUGUCUUAGCCCGAGGUAAAAAUUUCCUAACAAUGGAUUUCAGGGAUUUGAAGUGGGCCUUUCCAACCCAUCUUAGGCUAAGACUUAUGUUAGCUUAUAAAGAAUUCUACAUGCAUGUUAUACCCUUAUUAAUGAUUGUUGUAUGAUAGAAAAUUUACAACUUAUAAUUAUGCUAUCUUGGUAUUUGGGAGUUUGUGCUAAUUUUGGGAAUAAAUCCAAUAACUUAUAGAUAUGGUUAUUGUCAUGGUUUAUAGAUAUGAUUAUUGGUAUGGUUUAUAGAUAUAUUUAUUAAUAUAGUUUAUUGAUAUGGGUCAUUCAAAUGGUAAACUUAUAUGAUAAUAUGAGUUUUGGUUCAAAUCCGACAAGUGAUGUUAUACUGUUUAUACUAUAAGGAUAUUAUGAGUUUCGAUUCAAGUCUGACAAAUAAUGUUAUGAUAAUGAUGAUAUGAGUUCUGAUUUAAGUCUUGUAUUGAUAGUUGAGAAUUAUAUGAUAUGACAUGCAUGGUUUGUUGGUUAUAGCCGAUAAUCGGUAAAGUUAUGGAUCUAUGAUUAAUUAUUUUCCUUUGAUUGUACCCUCUGGUAUUAUGGGGCUCUCAUUGGGUCAUUUUUUCCCAUAUUUAUUGGAUCAUGGGGCCAAUGUAGUAGUUAUAAUUGUGUGAUCUCUACUAAAACAUACUGGGUUUUGACCCUUUGAAAAUUUCCUGGAAAUCCAUUCUCCAGACCUAAUACGACUCAUGGGUAUGAGUUGUAUGCUGGUGUAUGAGUAGUAUGGUCCUAUCAUAUGUUGACCAGUGUUACUUGGUGGGAUGGUUUUGUUCAUUGGAAUGGAUACGACUUAGGGGUAUGAGUCAUAAGGCAUUAGCAUGAGUCAUAUCAAAGACUCGUAUGGUGGGUAGUGGUAAUCCUCUAGGUAUUGCAUUCUGAUAAGAAUACGGGUCAUGGGUACGGAUAUUACAACUUGGUUGGAUCAGUAAUAUACUGUACAGUAUUUGAUCCAAGGAUUGAGACUUGGAUACGAGUGGUGGCUACCAAUUGUAUAGAAGGGUACGAAUCGUAUAGGUCAGUCGUAUCUUUGUGAUGGGUUUUUAAGAAAUUUAAAUAGCGGUAUUCUGGACAUUUUCCUACUUACCCUAACUAGGAACCACGAAUUCUAAUACAUUUAGGAGGUUAUUUACCCUAUUAUUCUAUUCAUUAAUACUUAUAAACUAUUCUAAAAAAUCUCAGAAUUCUCUCAAGAGCUUUUGGGGAAAGAAGGCUAGGGUUUCAUCUUAUGGAUUGCUUGCUGACCAGUGUUACUUGGUGGGAUGGUUUUAGUCAUUAGAAUGGGUAUGAAUUAGGGGUAUAAGUCGUAAGGCAUUAUUACGAGUCAUAUCAAGGACUCGUAUGAUGGCCAGUGUUGAUCCUCUAGGUAUUUUAUUCUGCUAAGGAUACAGCUCAUGGGUACAAAUCGUAUGUUGGGGUUCCGACUUGGUUGGAUCAGUAAUAUACUGGAUAGUGUUUGAUCCAAGGGUUGGGGCUUGGAUACGAGUGGUGGCUACCAAUUAUAUAGAAGGCUACGACUCGUAUAGGCCAGUCGUAUCUCUGUGAUGGGUUUUUAAGAGAUUUAAGUAGCGGUAUUCUGGACAUUUUCCUACUUACCCUAACUAGAACUCAUGACUUCACAUACACUUAGGAGGUUAUUUACCCUCUUACUGUAUUUAUUAAUACUUAAAAACUAUUCUAAAAAAUCUCAUAAUUCUCUCAAGAGCUUUUGGGGAAAGAAGGCUAGGGUUUCAUCUUACAGAUUGCUGUGGGGCUUACUUUUGUGAUUUCUUACCGUCAAUUCUUUGGUAUAAGUCAUGAUUCUCUUCCAUCAUUGUAAUUUCAACUAAAUUCAUGAUUUAUAUGAUUGAUUUCAUUGUUUUACUAUUUCAUGAUUAUGAUUAUCAACUAUUAUUUGGGGUUUUUGAUAUUAAAUGCUUGGAUAUGGUUUCCUAUGGUUUUAAUUAUGCUUUUUAUAUGCAUCAAUGGUGGAUUUGGACAAUUGGAUUUCAUGUUAAUGGUUUAAUGCUCCUUGGAAGAGGUUUUGGUUAUAUUAUACCCCAAGGUGUUCGAUAAAAUGCUUAUAAAGAUAUGUUCAUUGCAUUGACUUCUUUUAACGAAACUCUUGCAUGUUUUAAACUAGAUAAAGGAUUUAUUGUCAUAAUUUAAAUGGUUUGUAAAGGAUAAAGGCUAAUGGUUAUGCUUAUGGAGAACAUGAAAGUCUCCCAAGUGGAUUUAAUAUGGAAAUUAGAAGGGCACCUAAUGUGCCCUUAACCUAAAUAGUUUGGCUAUGGAUAUUACUUGAAAGUAAUAGUUUGGUAUGGAAAUACCACUAAUAUUAGCCUUGGUUAAUAAAUAGUAAAUGGAUUGUUUGGACAUAAUUUUAAUUGGGCAUUAAUGAAGGGGUGUUUAGCUAAGCCGUGAAAGACGGUGGUCUUGGGGAGACCAAAACUAGAAACUCAUAGUUGCUGAUAUAAGGGGUCUUUAUUACCAUGUGCGUAUGUCAUAUUUUAUAUUGGGGAUGUACUAGUCAUCCCAUGCAAUAUUUCCUGGUCGUGCAGAUACACAUACUGGGGCCCUUAAAAUAGGGGGAGCUGAACCUAUAUGGACCAUGGGUGGUUAGGAUGGAAAAGCUACAUAGCCCAGGUGAAGGUUUUAAAAGCAUGCUAAACUUGAUAUCCCUUUCCCGACACUUAUAUGUGUAUGAUUUUAUGUAUUAUGGAUGAUUUCACUUGGUCUUAUGACUGAUAUUAUUUUAUUCUUAUACUGAAAUUAUGUUAGCGGUAACUCGCUAACCCCAUCUACUAAUGGUGGUCACUCUCUAACCCUAUCUACUAGCAGCGGUAUACCCACGCUAUGUAGGAACCAACCAUUCUACUCCUCCUAUUUAGCACACGAAAUCAGUAUCAACAUUUGGACUGAAGUGGUGAACUUCCAUCCUAUCGGUAGACAUCAUUUUAUAUUAUGGAUUUAAUUAGACACUUAUCUUUUAUUUUGGAUAUUGAUUUUGGCCAUGGUUGGGGGCAUGUCCCAACCGUAUUUAUUUAUUCUUUUGAAUAAAGGCUUUGUGGUACUUCUGGGGGUUAGUAUGGGCAAGAUCAGUAUUGGUGUCAACCUUGGAAUUGGAAUAAGCUAGUGGGCUGACAUCAUUGGAUGAUAUUGUUGGUUGUUCCAUCCUACUACAUUUUGGGAUUGACUUUCAUUUUAUGUUUUGGUAUUUUCGUUGGUUUAUGGUCUAUGGUUUGGUUUGGUAUGGUUGGCGAUUGUUGUGGUAUGGUUGGACACAGUUGUGACCCUAUCCCAGAGUCUUAAUGAAAAUAAUAACACUAUCUUUUUAUAUAUUCAAAAUUUAGCUCAUAAGGUUGGAUAUAGGUGGUUGGGUUAGGUAACAAGGUGUGGUCCUCGAUCUUGGUUGGACUUGGGAUGCCUAUUGUGACAAAGAACAGGUCAGGUCGUGUCAAAUUAGUAUCAUAGCCUAGGUUCAUGGUCAACUGGGAAGUCCACAAAGUCGUGUCGAGUAGAGUAUUUUUUAGGGAUGUGAAGCGCAGACAUUUAGGAAUGUUUUACUUUCUUGGUAUUCUAUCUUUAGGCUUGAGCUCUCAAUCCUGGAAUCCCCUCUUCCCUUUGUUUGUUCGUCUUUCAGAUCACGCCUCUUAGAUCUGGAACACAAGGAAAUUCUUCCAGCCCAUUUGGGGAUAAUGCUGAAGGGGUACGUACUAUGUUUAGAAUACAUCUUUGAUCUCAUAGUCCUAUUCCUGAUAGUGCUCGAGUUCCUCCUAUUCUGACAAGUUCUCCUCAGGUCCCUCAAGGAAACCUGACGAAUGUAGAAUUUUAUCAGUCUAUCCAUAUAAUUCUUAAUUGGUUGCUACUUAGGUUUAUUAGGGUGCGACUAGAGCUUUGUCCGCCGAGGCUACAAGGGUUGGUCAAUUUAUGAAGAUAGGUCCUCCAAAUUUUAUUAGGGUAAAGGUGGAGGUGGAUCCAUAGGGAUUCUUGGAUGAGAUGAAAAAGUUCCUUCAGGUGAUGCAGGCUAUUAAUGUUGAGGGGGUUAACUUUGCAGCUUAUCAGCUCAAGGAUGUUGCUUAUUAGUGACAUGAGGAGUGGGAUAGGGAUAGAGGUGAUAUGAAAGUGGAUGGAUUAUAGGAAGCCUUUUCUAAUACCUUUAUGGAUUGGUUCUUUUCUCAAGAGUUGAUGAAAAUAAUGAUGGGGGAGUUUAUGAACCUUAGGCAGGGAAGGAUGUCGGUAAAGGUAUAUGCUUUGAGGUUCCAUCAGCUAUCAAGGUAUGCUCUUGAAUUUGUAGCUGAUAUGAGGUCGAGAAUGAGGAAGUUCACUUCUGGAAUGAAUAAAGAUUUGAUUUUGGAGAGCAACACUGCCUUGCUGAUUAAAAAUAUGGACAUCUUGAAGUUGAUUAUUCAUAUGCAGCAGGUUUGGGAUGAAAAAAAGAAGUAGGCAAAGUUUAGGGAUAGGUAGGAAAAGAGGAGUAGGUUUUUAGAUCAAGGAGGUGCUCAGUCUCAGGGUGGUAGGGAUGGUGGUAAGUGGUAGAAAAAGAAUUGGGAGAGUUUGGGCUCCUCUUCUGCUAGUGCUCCUUAUCGGUAGGGAGAGAUGCGUCAAGAAGGUGGUGAUAUUUAUUUGGCACAGGUUGCCCAAUCUCAAGUGAGCGAAGGUCAGUCAGUUUCUUUGUAUCCUUCUUGUCGAUUCUGUGGCCAUCCUUAUCGGGAUUAUUGCGAGGAAGAAAGGCAUAAGUGCUUCAAGUGUGGUGAGGUAGGCCAUCAACUCAGGGAUUUUCUAAGUAAUAAGGUUGCUACGAGGGCGAAUAAGAUUCAUGUGGCUUCAUCUUCUGCUUCUACACCUAGUAGGGUUGCAUCUGCUUCUGGUACUGCUCCUAGUUCUAGUAUUGGUCAGAAAAGGUUGUAUGAUUUAGCAUCCCAACAGGAAUCUGUGUCAUCACCUGAUGUUAUUACUGGUACGUAACAAUUUUUCUUUUGUGACGUAUAUUGUUUGCUUAGUCCUGGGUCCACUCUUUCUUAUGUGACUCCAUAUGUGGUUGUGUAUUUUGCUUCUGAUCCAGAAUUUAUCUCAAAUCCUUUCUCUGUUUCUUCCCUGGUAGGUGACUCAUUUAUUGCUCAGAGAGUCUAUAGGUGGUGUGUGGUAUCUGUUGGUAGCAAGCAGACCUUGGUGGAUAUGUUUGAGUUGGAUAUAGUAGAUUUUGAUAUAAUUCUAGGUGUGGAUUGUUUGCAUUCUUGUUAUGCAUAUGUGGAUUGUCAAACCUAUAGGGUUAUCUUUUAGUUUCUUGGUGAACUAGUUAUAGAAUAGGAAGGUAGUUCCUUAGCUCCAAGGAGGAGGUUUAUUUAUCUUAGAGCUUGGAGGUUAAUUUCUAAGGGUGUUCUUUAUUACUUGGUCCGUGGUAAAGAUUCUAACUCGGAAGGUCAUUCUUUGUCUUUGGUCCAUAUGAUUAAUGAUUUUCUAGAGGUCUUUCCAGAUGACCUUCCUGCUGUUCUACGAUAGGGAAAUAGAGUUUGGUAUUGAUUUGCUUUCGGAUACUCGUCCAUUUUCUAUUCCUCCGUACAGAAUGGCUUCGGUUGAGUUGAGAAAACUCAAGGAGCAACUUAAGGAUCUUCUGGAUAAGGGGUUUAUUCAUCCUAGCAUUUCUCCAUAGGAAGCACCAGUGUUGCUUGUGCGCAAGAAGGAUGGUUCCCUUCGGAUAUAUGCAUUGACUACAGUCCGUUGAGCAAGGUGAGAGUCAAGAAUAAGUAUUCUCUUCCUCGGAUAGAUGACUUAUUUGUCCAGUUAUAGGGUGACAAGUUCUUCUCUAAGAUAUAUCUUUGGUCUGACUACCAUCAGCUUAAGAUUAGGGAGAUAGAUAUCCCUAAGAUGGCUUUUUGUACUCAGUAUUGGCAUUUUGAGUUCUUGGUGAUGUCAUUUAGGUUGACUAAUGCUCUGGAAGUAUUUAUGGACUUGAUGAACAGAGUGUUGAGGUAGUAUUUACAUCUCUUCAUCAUUGUGUUUAUCGAUGGCAUUCUAGUUUAUUCAAAGAGUGAGGUAGAUCAUGCUAAUCACCUCCAUGUGGUGUUGCAAACCUUAAAGGAACAACAGUUGUAUGCCAAGUUCUCUAACUGUGAGUUCUAGUUGAAUGAUGUGACCUUCUUAGGCCAUAUUAUUUCUAGUGAAGGGAUCAUAGUAGACCCGCAGAAGCUUGUUAUGGUGAAGAGGUGGCUUAGGCCCACGACUCCAUCUGAUAUUUAGAGCUUCUUGGGUUUAGCUGGGUGUUAUAGGCUAUUUCUGCAAAACUUUUCUUUGAUAGAUGAUUCUUUGACUUGGUUGAAAGGUUAAGUUCUCUUGGUUGGAUACUUGUGAAGGGAGUUUUGAGAAGUUGAAGGAUAAGUUGACUUCGGUUCCAAUCCUGACCUUGUUGAAAGGUAAUAAUGGGUUUGUAGUUUAUUAUGAUGCAUCUCAGGUAGGGCUUAGUUGUUUUUUGAUGCAGCAUGGGAAGGUGAUUGCCUAUGGUUCCAGGCAGUUAAAGGUCUAUGAGAGGAUUUAUCCUACUCAUGAUUUGGAUUUGUUAGAGGUUGUGUUUUCUUUGAACAUAUGAUAGCAUUAUUUGUAUGGUGUUCACGUGGAUAUCUUUUCUGAUCACAAGAGUCUUCAGUACGUGUUCACUAAAAAAGAGCUUAAUCUCAGAUAGAGGAGGUGGCUUGUCCUUCUCAAGAAUUAUGAUAUAAGUCUUCACUACCACCCAGGUAAGGCUAAUAUAGUUGCUGAUGCUCUCAGUAGGUUAUCCAUGGGGAGUUGGACUCACAUAGAGGAAGGAAAGAGGGAAUUGGUUAAGGAUAUUCAUCUCUUGGCUAAUCUUGGAGUUCAUCUCUUGAACUCUAAGGAUAGUGGUGUAAUGGUGCGAGAAGUAGUUCGAUCAUCUCUUGGUGUAGAGAUUAAGGAAAAGCAUGUACUGGAUCUUGUCUUGAUAAAAAUUAAGAGUGGCGUUGGUGGGUAGAAGGUAGUUGUGUUUGAGAUCAGUAGUGAUGGUACUUAACGGUACCAAGGAAGGUUAUGUGUUCCUGAUGUCGAUGGGCUGUAGGAAAGGAUUUUGGCUGAGGUGCAUGAGUCACGCUAUGUUGUUCAUCCCAGCUCGACUAAGAUGUAACAUGAUCUCAAGGAGAUGUAUUGGUGGAAUGGCAUAACGGGGGAUGUGGCUAAUUUCAUGGCCAAGUGUAUGGUGUGCCAAUAGGUUAAGGUUGAGCAAAUGAGACCAGAAGGGUUGUAACAAGAAAUUGAUUUGCCUAAAUAGCAGUGGGAAGUGAUCAAUAUGGAUUUUAUUACCGGUCUUCCUCUGUCUCGGAAUAGUUUGAUUUAAUUUGGGUCAUUGUGGAUAGGAUGACCAAGUUUGCACAUUUCUUGCUAGUGCGGACUACUUUUUCAAUGAAGGAUUAUAUGUGGUUGUAUCUUUAGGAGAUUGUGAAGCUGUAUGGGUACGUGUUUCGAUUAUCAUUGAUCAUGGUAUGCAGUUUACGUCUCAUUUUUGGAGGUAUUUCCAGAAGGGGUUGGGUACCAAGGUUAGUCUGAGUGCUGCUUUUCAUCCAUAGUAGGAUGGGCAAGCAGAGAGAACUAUUCAAACAUUAGAAGAUAUACUUCGUUCCCGUGUUAUUGACUAUGGUCGAAAUUGGGUUGAGCAUCUAUAUUUGGUGGAGUUUUCUUAAAAUAAUAGCUAUCAUUUGAGUAUUGGUAUGGCUUCUUUCGAGGUAUUGUAUGGUAGAAGAUGCAGAUCUCCUAUUGGUUGGUUUGAGCUUGCAGAAGUGGACAUAUUUGGUCCAAAUUUGGUUUAUCAGGCGAUGGAGAGGGUUAAGGUAAUUUGGGAUAGGCUUAAAGCUGCCCAAAGUUGGUAAAAGUCCUAUAUGGAUGUUUAGCAUAAAGACUUAGAGUUUGAGGUCAGGUAUAGGGUAUUUCUUAAGGAGUCUCCUAUGACGGGAGUGGGCAGUUUGGAAAAUAAGGGAAACUCAAUCCUUGGUUUAUUUGUCCUUAUGUAAUUUUGUGGAGAGUUCACAAUGAUGCUUAUGAGUUGGAGUUGCCAUUUAGCUUAAGUUUAGUUCAUCCAGUCUUUCAUGUUUCUUUGUUGAGGAAGUGUCUUGGUAAUCCUUCUUUGGUUGUUCCCUUUGAAAGAUUAGGUAUCUCAAAUUUUCUAUCUUAUGAAGAGGUCCCAGUUGAGAUAUUAGAUAGGCAAGUUCAUCAGUUAUGGACCAAGAAUGUGGCUUCAGUUGAGGUUUUAUGGCAGAACCAUAAGGUGGAAGAAGCUACUUGGGAAGUGGAAGAGGACAUGAAGUCCAAGUAUUCACAUUUGUUUUCUGCUCUUGGGAUUCGUGUGGAAGGUAUGUGUCUUUAAUACAUCUUUAUUUUUUGAGUUUGUUAAAGGAAAUAUUUACAUCUUGCCUUUUUUUUAAACUUUGUUGAAGGGAUGUUUGAUAAUGCAAGUGACUCUCUGUAUGGUUACCCCUACUUUGUCCGUCAUUCAAGGAUGAAUGUUCCUAGUGGGGGAGACUGAAACAUCCUUGGUUUUGAUCCUCAGAAAAUUUCUCAAAAAUCCAUUCUCCAGACCCAAUACAACUCAUGGGUAUGAGCCAUAUGCUGGGGUACGAGUGGUAUGGUACUGUCAUAUACUGACUAGUGUUAGUUGGUGGGAUGGUUUUGGUCACUGGAAUGGGUAUGAAUUAGGAUAUGAGUCAUAAGGCAUUGGUAAGAGUCGUAUCAAGGACUCGUAUGGUGGACAAUGUUGAUCCUCGAAGUAUUUUAUUCUGCCAGGGAUACGAGUCAUGAUUAUGAAUCAUAUGUUCUGGUUACGACUUGGUUGGAUGAGUCGUAUACUGGACAGUGUUUGAUCCAAGGGUUGAGGCUUGGAUACGAGUUUGUGGAUACUGAUUGUAUAGAAGGGUACAACUCGUAUGGGUCGAUCGUAUCCCUAUGAUGGGGUUUUAAGGGAUUUAAGUGGGGGAAUUCUAGAUAUUUCCCUACUUACCCUAACUAAGACUCACGAUUUCUUAUACACUUAGGAGGUUAUUUACCCUAUUGUUCUAUUCAUUAACACUUAGUAACUAUUCCAAAACAUCUCAUUAUUCUCUCAAGAGUUUUUUGGGCAAGAAGGCUAGGGUUUUAUCUUGUGAAUUGCUUGGGGCUUGCUUUGGUGAUUUCUUUCUAUCAAUUCUUUAGUACAAGGCAUGAUUCUCUUCUCUCAUUGUAAUUUUAACUAAAGGCAUGGUUUGUAUAAUUGAUUUCAUGAUUUUACUUUUUCAUGAUUAUGGUUUUCAACUAUUAUUUAGGAGUUUUGAUAUUGAAUGCUUGGUUAUAGUUUCCUAUGGUUUUAGUUAUUUUUUUAUAUGCAUUAGUGGUGGAUUUGGACAAUUGGAUUUCAUGGUAAUGGUUUAAUGGUCUUUAGAAUUGGUUUUGGUUAUAUUAUACCCCCAAGGUGUUUGAUAAAAUGCUUAUAAAGAUUCAUUGCAUUGACUUAUUUAUAUGGAACUCUUGCUUAUUUUAAACUGGAUAAAGGAUUUGUGCAUGUUUAAAAUGGUUUGAAAAUGCUAAAGGCUAAUGGUUAUGCUUGUGGAUAACAUGGAAGUCUCCCGAAUGGAUUUAAUAUGGAAAUUGGAAGGGAACCUAACGUCCCGUUAACCUAAAUAGUUUGGCUAUGGAUAUUAUUUAUAAGUAAUGGGGUGGUAUGAAGAUACCACUAAUAUUGGCCUUGGUUAAUAAAUCGUAAAUAAAUUAUUUGGACAUGGUUUUAAUGGCAGGGUAUGUAGCUAAGCCGUGGAAGGUGGAGGUCCUGGGGGGACCAAAAUCGGAAACUCAUAGUUGCCGAUAUGAGG
rnacentral:lncRNA from 1 species